rnacentral:rRNA from 1 species
GGGCCCGCACAAGCAGCGGAGCAUGUGGUUUAAUUCGAAGCAACGCGAAGAACCUUACCUGGACUUGACAUCCCCUGAAUAGUGCAGAGAUGCAUGAAGCCCUUCGGGGCAGGGAGACAGGUGGUGCAUGGUUGUCGUCAGCUCGUGUCGUGAGAUGUUAGGUUAAGUCCUGCAACGAGCGCAACCCCUAUCAUUAGUUGCUACCAUUAAGUUGAGCACUCUAGUGAGACUGCCCGGGUUAACCGGGAGGAAGGUGGGGAUGACGUCAAAUCAUCAUGCCCCUUAUGUCCAGGGCUACACACGUGCUACAAUGGUAGGUACAGAGAGAUGCAAGACCGCGAGGUGGAGCAAAACUCAAAAACCUAUCCCAGUUCGGAUUGUAGGCUGCAACUCGCCUACAUGAAGCCGGAGUUGCUAGUAAUCGCGAAUCAGAAUGUCGCGGUGAAUACGUUCCCGGGCCUU